GACGAACGCUGGCGGCGUGCUUAACACAUGCAAGUCGAACGGAAAGGCCCUGCUUUUGUGGGGUGCUCGAGUGGCGAACGGGUGAGUAACACGUGAGUAACCUGCCCUUGACUUUGGGAUAACUUCAGGAAACUGGGGCUAAUACCGGAUAGGAGCUCCUGCUGCAUGGUGGGGGUUGGAAAGUUUCGGCGGUUGGGGAUGGACUCGCGGCUUAUCAGCUUGUUGGUGGGGUAGUGGCUUACCACGGCUUUGACGGGUAGCCGGCCUGAGAGGGUGACCGGCCACAUUGGGACUGAGAUACGGCCCAGACUCCUACGGGAGGCAGCAGUGGGGAAUAUUGCACAAUGGGCGGAAGCCUGAUGCAGCAACGCCGCGUGCGUGAUGACGGCCUUCGGGUUGUAAACCGCUUUCGCCUGUGACGAAGCGUGAGUGACGGUAAUGGGUAAAGAAGCACCGGCUAACUACGUG
rnacentral:rRNA from 1 species